CCUACGGGAGGCAGCAGUGAGGAAUAUUGGUCAAUGGGCGCGAGCCUGAUCCAGCCAAGUCGCGUGAGGGAUGAAGGUUCUAUGGAUCUUAAACCUCUUUUAUAAGGGAAUAAAGUGUGGGACGUGUCCUAUUUUGUAUGUACCUUAUGCAUACGGAUCGGCUAACUCCGUGCUAGCAGCCGCGGUAAUUCGGAGGAUCCGAGCGUUAUCCGGAUUUAUUGGGUUUAAAGGGUGCGUAGGCGGCAUUGUAAGUCCGCGGUGAAAGUCUGUGGCGCAACCAUAGAAUUGCCGUUGAAACUGGGGGGCUUGAGUAUGUUUGAGGCAGGCGGAAUGCGUGGUGUAGCGGUGAAAUGCUUAGAUAUUACGCAGAACCCCGAUGGCGAAGGCAGCCUGCCAAGCCAUGACUGACGCUGAUGCACGAAAGCGUGGGGAUCAAACAGGAUUAGAUACCCCUGUAGUC
rnacentral:rRNA from 1 species